rfam:Setaria italica strain Yugu1 chromosome VII, whole genome shotgun sequence.
GUGUUACUGGGAGUUCCCUAAAAGCACUUCGCGAGGAAUUGACUUAAGAGCUCUUGUGAAGUGUUUGGGGGAACUCUUGGUGUCAC